rnacentral:rRNA from 1 species
GAUGAACGCUAGCGACAGGCCUAACACAUGCAAGUCGAGCGGCAGCACCUCGGGUGGCGAGCGGCGCACGGGUGAGUAACGCGUAUGUAACCUGCCCAUGAGUGGGGGAUAGCCCGGUGAAAACCGGAUUAAUACCGCAUAACACCGAUAUCUGACAUCAAAGAUCGGUUAAAGAUUGAUUGCUCAUGGAUGGACAUGCGUUGGAUUAGCUUGUUGGCGGGGCAACGGCCCACCAAGGCGACGAUCCAUAGGGGUUCUGAGAGGAAGGUCCCCCACAUUGGUACUGAGACACGGACCAAACUCC